rnacentral:lncRNA from 1 species
GGGGCCCUUAUUCUGCUUCAGAAUUCUAGCGGUAUCCGCCCUUUCUUUGAGUGCCCUGUCUCUCUUGGCGUCUCCUUGGGACAUAGGCGCCCUUCGAGUCGUCCCUGUCCUCGCCCCUCUGCAUCUCUCAGAGCGAUCUAGGUUAGUCCCAAAACCUCCGCCCUCUUUUCGCCAUCUAGGAGCCUUUUUUUUAUCAUUUUCUUCUGUCGUAUUCCUCCGAGUUAGUCUACUGUGACCUCUUGUCCUUUGCCCCGUCUGUCUCCUUCGGGAUCUUUAGAGUCUUCAUUAGAAGUCAUUUGAAAUGUCUUUUGGCUCUUCCGCUUCCAGCGGCUCCGGG